GAUGAACGCUAGCUACAGGCUUAACACAUGCAAGUCGCGGGGCAGCAUGGGGGUUGCUUGCAAUCCCCGAUGGCGACCGGCGCACGGGUGAGUAACGCGUAUCCAACCUGCCCUUCACCACGGGAUAACCCGGCGAAAGUCGGACUAAUACCGUAUGUUGUCCAUUGACGGCAUCCGAUUUGGACGAAAGGUUUGGCGGUGAAGGAGGGGGAUGCGUCCGAUUAGCUGGACGGCGGGGUGACGGCCCACCGUGGCGGCGAUCGGUAGGGGUUCUGGGAGGAAGGUCCCCCACACUGGAACUGAGCCACGGUCCAGACUCCUACGGGAGGCAGCAGUGAGGAAUAUUGGUCAAUGGGCGUAAGCCUGAACCAGCCAAGUAGCGUGCAGGAUGACGGCCCUAUGGGUUGUAAACUGCUUUUAUGCGGGGAUAAAGUGGCCCACGUGUGGGUUUUUGCAGGUACCGCAUGAAUAAGGACCGGCUAAUUCCGUG
rnacentral:rRNA from 1 species